rnacentral:rRNA from 1 species
GUGUCAGCCGCCGCGGUAAUACAGAGGGUGCAAGCGUUGUUCGGAAUUAUUGGGCGUAAAGGGAGUGUAGGCGGUUUGAUAAGUCUUCUGUGAAAUCUACGGGCUUAGCCUGUAACGUGCAGAGGAAACUGUCAGGCUUGAGUGUCGGAGAGGAUAGGGGAAUUCCCGGUGUAGAGGUGAAAUUCGUAGAGAUCGGGAGGAACACCAGUGGCGAAGGCGCCUAUCUGGCUGACAACUGACGCUGAGACUCGAAAGCAUGGGGAGCAAACAGGAUUAGAUACCCUGGUAGUCCAUGCCGUAAACGAUGAUAGCUAGAUGUGUGAGGUAUUGACCCCUUACGUGUCGAAGUCAACACGAUAAGCUAUCCGCCUGGGGAGUACGGUCGCAAGAUUAAA